CAUUAGGCAACGCAGCAAGCAGUGUUUUUCAGCUGAUAGUCGUAAACGUGGAGCUCGGGCCAAAGGGUACAAUGCGUAAGUUGUACACUGAGGAAGAAUUCACGGCUCUUUUG